rnacentral:rRNA from 1 species
GACGAGGGAUCCUAGCGUUGUUCGGAAUCAUUGGGCGUAAAGCGGGUGUAGGCGGGCUUAUAAGUCAGGUGUGAAAUCCCAGGGCUCAACCCUGGAAGUGCAUUUGAUACUGUAAGUCUUGAAUGUGGUAGAGGUUACUAGAAUUCCUGGUGUAGUGGUGAAAUACGUAGAUAUCAGGAGGAAUACCAGAGGCGAAGGCGGGUAACUGGGCCAACAUUGACGCUGAGAUCCGAAAGCGUGGGGAUCAAACAGG